rnacentral:rRNA from 1 species
UACGUAGGUGGCGAGCGUUGUCCGGAUUUACUGGGCGUAAAGAGCGCGCAGGCGGUUCGUUAAGUCCGAGGUGAAAUCUCCUGGCUCAACUGGGAGGGGUCUUCGGAUACUGGCGGACUUGAGGAGAGCAGAGGUGAGUGGAAUUCUCGGUGUAGUGGUGAAAUGCGUAGAUAUCGAGAGGAACACCAGCGGCGAAGGCGGCUCACUGGGCUCCACCUGACGCUGAGGCGCGAAAGCGUGGGGAGCGAACCGG